AAUGAACGUUGGCGGCGUGGAUUAGGCAUGCAAGUCGUGCGAUAACCGUAGCAAUACGGGGAAAGCGGCGAAAGGGAGAGUAACGCGUGGGUACCUACCCCCUGGUCUGGGAUAGCCGCGGGAAACUGCGGGUAAUACCGGAUGAAGUCUCCGGACCAAAGGUGUGAUUCCGCCGGGGGAUGGGCCCGCGUCCUAUCAGCUUGUUGGCAGGGUAAUGGCCUACCAAGGCGAUGACGGGUACGAGGUGUGAGAGCAUGACCUCGCUCACUGGGACUGAGACACUGCCCGGACACCUACGGGUGGGUGCAGGCGAGAAUCUUCGGCAAUGGGCGCAAGCCUGACCGAGCGACGCCGCGUGCGGGAUGAAGGCCCUCGGGUUGUAAACCGCUGUCGGAGGGGAGGAAGUGCAGGGAAGUAAUUCAUAAUCAACCCGGUUUGACCUAUCCUCAAAGGAAGUACGGGCUAAGUUCGUGCCAGCCGCCGCCGUAAUAC
rnacentral:rRNA from 1 species